rnacentral:rRNA from 1 species
AUUCCAGCUCCAAUAGCGUAUACUAAAGUUGUUGCAGUUAAAAAGCUCGUAGUUGAAUUUCUGGUCGUGGCGACCGGUCCGCCCCUCACGGGGUGUGCACCUGGUCUCUGCGUCCAUCCUCGGGGAGAGCGCGUCUGGCAUUCAGUUGUCGGGCGCGGGAUCCUCGUCAUUUACUGUGAGCAAAAUAGAGUGUUCAAAGCAGGCUUAGGCCGUUGAAUACAUUAGCAUGGAAUAAUAAGAUAGGACCUUGGUCUAUUUUGUUGGUUUGCAUUCCAAGGUAAUGAUUAAUAGGGAUAGUUGGGGGUAUUCGUAUUCAAUUGUCAGAGGUGAAAUUCUUGGAUUUAUGGAAGACGAACUACUGCGAAAGCAUUUACCAAGGAUGUUUUCAUUA